rnacentral:rRNA from 2 species
UGGUAAGAAUAGCUGCGGGGGUACACCUGGUCCCAUUCCGAACCCAGAAGUUAAGCCCGUAAACGCUGAAAGUACUUGGAGGGAAGCCUCCUGGGAGGAUAGGAACUUGCCAAGCA